rnacentral:rRNA from 1 species
GCAUAUCAAUAAGCGGAGGAAAAGAAACCAACAGGGAUUGCCCUAGUAACGGCGAGUGAAGCGGCAACAGCUCAAAUUUGAAAUCUGGCUUCGGCCCGAGUUGUAAUUUGCAAAGGAAGCUUUAGGCGCGGCACCUUCUGAGUCCCCUGGAACGGGGCGCCAUAGAGGGUGAGAGCCCCGUAUAGUUGGAUGCCUAGCCUGUGUAAAGCUCCUUCGACGAGUCGAGUAGUUUGGGAAUGCUGCUCAAAAUGGGAGGUAAAUUUCUUCUAAAGCUAAAUACCGGCCAGAGACCGAUAGCGCACAAGUAGAGUGAUCGAAAGAUGAAAAGCACUUUGAAAAGAGGGUUAAAUAGCACGUGAAAUUGUUGAAAGGGAAGCGCUUGUGACCAGACUUGCGCCGGGCGGAUCAUCCGGUGUUCUCACCGGUGCACUCCGCCCGGCUCAGGCCAGCAUCGGUUCUCGCGGGGGGAUAAAGGUCCUGGGAACGUAGCUCCUCCGGGAGUGUUAUAGCCCGGGGCGUAAUGCCCUCGCGGGGACCGAGGUUCGCGCAUCUGCAAGGAUGCUGGCGUAAUGGUCAUCAGCGAC